AUGCUCAAAAUUCUCCAAGCCAGGCUUCAGCAAUAUGACUGUGAACUUCCAGAUGUUCAAGCUAGUUUUAGAAAAUGCAGAGAAACCAGAGAUCAAAUUGCCAACAUCUGCUGGAUCAUGGAAAAAGCAAGAGAGUUCCAGAAAAACAUCUAUUUCUGCUUUCUUGACUAUGCCAAAGCCUUUGACUGUGUGGAUCACAAUAAACUGUGGAAAAUUCUUCAAGAGAUGGGAAUACCAGCCCACCUGACCUGCCUCUUGAGAAACCUGUAUGCAGGUCAGGAAGCAACAGUUAGAACUGGACAUGGAGCAACAGACUGGUUCCAAAUAGGAAAAGGAGUACGUCAAGGCUGUAUAUUGUCACCCUGCUUAUUUAACUUCUAUGCAGAGUACAUUAUGAGAAACGCUGGGCUAGAAGAAGCACAAACUAGAAUCAAGAUUGCCGGGAGAAAUAUCAAUAACCUCAGAUAUGAAGCUGAUACCACCCUUAUGGCAGAAAGCAAAGAAGAACAAAAGAGCCUCUUGAAGAAAGUGAGAGAAGAGAGUGAAAAAGUUGGCUUAAAGCUCAACAUUCAGAAAACGAAGAUCAUGGCAUCUGGUCCCAUCACUUCAUGGGAAAUAGAUGGGGAAACAGUGGAAACAAUAUCAGACUUUAUCUUUUUGGGUUCCAAAAUCACUGCAGAUCGUGGCUUCAGCCAUGAAAUUAAAAGACGCUUACUCUUUGGAAGAAAGGUUAUGACCAACCUAGAUAGCAUAUUGAAAAGCAAAGACAUUACUUUGCCAACAAAGGUCCGUUUAGUCAAGGCUAUAGUUUUUCCAGUGGUCAUGUAUAGAUGUGAGAGCUGGACUGUGAAGAAAGCUGAGCGCCGAAGAACUGAUGCUUUUGAACUGUGGUGUUGGAGAAGACUCUUGAGCGUCCCUUGGACUGCAAGGAGAUCCAACCAGUCCAUUCUAAAGGAGAUCAGCUCUGGGUGUUCCUUGGAAGAAAUGAUGCUAAAGGUGAAACUCCAAUACUUUGGCCACCUCAUGUGA
rnacentral:lncRNA from 1 species